UAAAUAGCCAGGUCAGCUUCGGCUGGCCGCCGGCUUCUUAGAGGGACUAUCGGCUCAAGCCGAUGGAAGUUUGAGGCAAUAACAGGUCUGUGAUGCCCUUAGAUGUUCUGGGCCGCACGGUAAGCUUAUCCCUGCCCCCACUUCUCCCCGAAAUUUUUUACUAACGUUCUCGCAGCGCGCUACACUGACAGAGACAACGAGUACAUCACCUUGGCCGGAAGGUCUG
rnacentral:rRNA from 1 species